CUCCAUUGUCAGUUGUUCAGCAAACAGCCAAACCUCAGAAGAAAGAUCACUCCACUUCCCCUGCAAGCACCAGUUCUCUAAAAUGAAGCAUACGUAUCAUCCAUGAGGUCACAUCCUCCUUGCUAUUAGUACAUGCUGGGUGUUUACAGACUUGGGAAGUUCAGGUUUGCUUCGGAGAAACAGGCAGGGCCAUGGAGCAAGGUUUGAAAUCAGAGGACAGGUUCCUGAACAGAUGGGACACUCCUCCUUCCAUAUUUUUCAUGCAUUUAACUGAAAAUAAAAGGAACAAGUAGCAACUUUUUUUUUUUUUUAAUAUAUACCAAAAAAUAAGCAAUAGAAGAUUAUGAGACCAAAUAAGGACAAAAGGGGGGAGGAACAGAGAGAAGUUCAUGACCUUGAAGGGAAAUGCCUUUAUCUUCUCUCCCUUUAGAUAUACGAACAGCACAGAAUUGGGCUUUCCAGCAGUUGCACCUACAGCAGCGCUUCUGAGUGCAACUCAAAACCUAAAGUACCCGUGGUUAGAAACUUCAUCCAAGGCAGAUUAAUUCCAGUAAGGCGGCAAAUUAUUAU